GUCGAACGAGACCUUCGGGUCUAGUGGCGCACGGGUGCGUAACGCGUAGGCAAUCUACCCGAUACAGGGGAAUAACACGGGGAAACUCGUGCUAAUACCGCGUAAUAAAUGAGAAGGCAUCUUCUUAUUUUAAAAGCUUCGGCGGUAUCGGAAGAGCCUGCGUCCUAUUAGCUAGUUGGUAAGGUAACAGCUUACCAAGGCGACGAUAGGUAGGGGAACUGAGAGGUUGAUCCCCCACACUGGUACUGAGAUACGGACCAGACUCCUACGGGAGGCAGCAGUGAGGAAUAUUGGUCAAUGGACGGAAGUCUGAACCAGCCAUGUCGCGUGUCGGAAGACGGCCCUCUGGGUUGUAAACGGCUUUUCUUUGGGAAGAACACGCUCUUGCGAGAGCAACUGACGGUACCAAAGGAAUAAGCACCGGCUAACUACGUGCCAGCAGCCGCGGUAAUACGUAGGGUGCAAGCGUUGUCCGGAUUUAUUGGGUUUAAAGGGUGCGUAGGCGGCUAUUUAAGUCGUGGGUGAAAGCCCGUCGCUUAACGACGGAAUUGCCUGCGAUACUGGAUAGCUUGAGUAUCGUUAAGGUUGGCGGAAUGGGAGGUGUAGCGGUGAAAUGCAUAGAUACCUUCCAGAACACCGAUUGCGUAGGCAGCUGACUAGGCGAUAACUGACGCUGAGGCACGAAAGCGUGGGGAGCGAACAGGAUUAGAUACCCUGGUAGUCCACGCCGUAAACGAUGAUGACUCGUUGUUGG
rnacentral:rRNA from 1 species